AACGAACGCUGGCGGCAUGCCUAACACAUGCAAGUCGAACGAGAACUUCGGGUCUAGUGGUGCACGGGUGCGUGACGCGUGGGAACCUGCCCUUAGGUUCGGAAUAACUCCCCGAAAGGGGUGCUAAUACCGGAUAAUGUCUUCGGACCAAAGAUGUAUCGCCUUUGGGUGGGCCCGCGUUGGUUUAGCUAGUUGGUAGGGUAAAAGCCUAGCAAGGCGACGAUGCAUAGCUGGUCGGAGAGGAUGAUCAGCCACGCUGGAACUGAGACACGGCCCAGACUCCUACGGGAGGCAGCAGAGGGGAAUAUUGGACGAGGGGCGAAAGCCUGAUCCAGCAAUGCCGCGUGAGUGAUGAAGGCCUUAGGGUUGUAAAGCUCUUUUACCCGGGAUGAUAAUGACAGUACCGGGAGAAUAAGCUCCGGCUAACUCCGUG
rnacentral:rRNA from 1 species